rnacentral:lncRNA from 1 species
CUCUCUCCAUCUACGUCCCCCUCUGUAGUUAUACGGAAUCAAAUUAUAAUGCGCGCCAUGUCGAUCUCCAAGUCUAUCGGGUCGGAGCUCUUAGGCCGACCAUCGCCGCUCUGCGCCUUCUCCUGCCGUCUCCACACCUUCUGUCCGGCUCAUUUCCUUCAAUCUUCCCUGCGUCCACAAUCCCUAGGGACCUUCCAGAGGCGGAGGAGACCAGUGGUUCCAAUUCGAUCCUCGCCGUUCGCCGAACUCUCUACCACAGAGGAAGAGUGGCUUAAGAAGCUCCCAGACAAGAAGAAGCCUCUCUACUCCCAC